rnacentral:tRNA from 1 species
GCCCGAGUGACGAAACCGGUAGACGUAGCGGACUUAAAAUCCGCAGCUUAACAAGCGUGCGGGUUCGACCCCCGCCUCGGGCACCA